AUUCAAGUGUAUACUUAAAAAGAUAUUGUAUUGUAUCUGUAAACUUAAAGUUUUUCCAUAGCUUUCAACUUUUUGGUUAUUUCAAUUAUCCUAUGAUUGGAAAUAGAAGUUACCUUUUGGCUUGGGUAUACUUUACUGUCUGUCUCUAUGCCCCAACUUUUCCUUCCUCUUCUGUGGUUCCUAAAUUUAGGUGAUGACUGAAUGGGAACUGGCGAGUAAGCAUCGUGGUGAUUCUGUCAAGAGAAUUUGCUGACUUUGGGUUAUCCUGGUUUACGAUAUAUUCCAUUUACAUUUCCUGAUGAAAAAUACCCCAGUUACUCCACCUUUGCUGUAUGUAUUUAGUUUGUCCAUUUUUAGUAUCUAACUGUGGAGGUGAUGAUCCAUUGAUGAAGGUCAACUAAGUAUGUAUGGGAAGGAGGCAGGAUGGCUCAUUUUCUUUUUAGUCUCAGGAGACCCCAUAGCUGACACCUUUUUAGACCUGAAGCAGUGUUCAUGUUCUCCUCUCUCUAUGACACCACUUACGGGAGAAAUUGUGAGGAGUUUUACCAGCACAGUCUUUGGGGUCAUAUGAGCUUGACUCCUAAACUUUUCAAGUCCUAGUUUCUUUUUUUACCUGCAGCUUUAUUGAGGUGUAGUUGACAGAUAAAAUUGUAUAUAUUCAAAGUAUACAGUCUGAUGAUGUAAUACACAUUGCAAAAUAUUUACUAUAAUCAAAUGAACACCUCAUUCAUCCACAUUUACAUUGUUUUGUGUGUGAGAAUACUUAAGAUCUAGUCUCUAGGCAACUUUCAAUAUGCAGUCAACAUUUUUAGUUACAGUCACCAGUGGUGGACAUUAGGUCCUUAGAACUUCCUCUUGUUGCAACUGGAACUUUGUACUCUUUGACCAACCUGUUUCCAUUUCUCCAACCCCUCAACCCUGGCAACCACCAUUCUACUCUCUGUUUCUAUGAGUUCACAAGUCCCAAAUUCUUUAUCAGCAAAAAGAGCGCAAUAAUACUAUCUGUUGCAUAAUUGCCUGGAGAUUCUUUUGAGGAUUGAGGUGUGAUGCCAUGCUUACAAAGCACUAAGUCGAUAGCCCAGUAUAUAGUACCUCUAGAUCAACGUUAGCUAUUAUAAUUCGGUGGUAGUAUUGAUAUCCCAAGUAAUUGGUAUGUUACAGAACAUCGAAUAACAGGUUAGGUCACAGUAUCAAAAGCAACAUUGCUUCUAUGAAAUAGAAGGCCUUCUGCACUCAGAACCCCAUUGUGGCCCCUUUAUGGUCAGCCAGCUUCUGGUCACAAGUCAGACUUUUAUGUGCUAAGCCCUUCACUUCUCACUUGGAUAUUAGUAAUGCUGUAUCUGGAGUGUGGGUAAUAUAUCUUUAAAAGAUUGCAGACUACUAUUUAUGCACAAGUGACCAUGAAAAAAAUUGCAUUGUGUUGUAAUAAAAGAACCCUCUCAACUAGAACUGAAGUGUUGUUUCCACAACACUGAAAGAGAGACGAAACAAAGCAAACUGGAAAAGCUGCUUGGUGUUGUAGGCAAGUGGAAGAGGAGCGAUCAGGAACUCAGAACAGAUGAGAUUUAGCUGACCAUUGAAGACGUGAAAAUGGCAGCAGAGGGGGCGUUCCAGGUGCCCUGAAGUGAUGGAGCCCAUAACAAUGCUGAAUAUACGGCAAAGGUUUGUGUUCUGUGUAGCUGAAUUCAAUCUGCAACUGAUGUAAGCACCAAUUAGGAAGUUUUACAAGGUGAGUAGCAGAUGAGAAGCUGUAGGGAGUUGGACUGUGGUAGGGUCAGCCUCAAUAGAAAUGGAAAUGAAUGUAGCCAGGAGAUGCACACUGGGGAUAGAUAGGCAUCAUAAGACAGUUACCUAUUGGAUGUGUGGCCGGGGUGGGGGGAAAGGGAGGAAUCCUGUAUGACUUGAGAGUUUAAGCUUGGGUGAUCAAGAAAAUGGUAACAUUAUUGACAAACCAGAGAUAGCUGUAGGAAGAGAGAGCUUGAGUGGCAAAUAAAUGAAAGUACAUUUUAGAUGAGUGAAUUUGACUCCUGAAAGAAAAGCCCAGACAAUCCAAGUGCUGAAUCAGUAAUACAGACUCUUAAGCCCUUAGAUUGGUAGGAAGGAGAGAUUGGGGUAAGGCAAGGGGUCUUACAUUCCAUUGCAGGACUUCUUUUUUUUUUUUUUUUUUUUAACACUUCCCAUGAUGAAGAUGGACCGUAACUAUUGGUCAGGAUUUUUAACCAUGGGUUUAAACCGCAUCUGGGAAAUAUAUAAUCAUUUUCUCUGGGGCACAAUGUCUAGAAAAAUGCUUUGCUUAGCUAAGGCAUAGGUCUGCUCCGAGAGUAGAAUAUGGGCUAGGUGACCUCUGGAUGUGCUUUAUAGUUCUGUGAUUCUAUAAUUAUCUCAGGCUUCAAAUCACUUUCUAGGGAACAGCAAAUAAUUCUUACUAAUAAAACACAAUUUGAAACUUGGAACUGAAAUUACACAUUUUCAAUAAAGUGUUGUAAUAAAGUUAGCGACUGGAGACUCCCCCUAGGAAUAAAGAGUGAAAUGUAUUGGUUGGCCACUCGUGCAAGGCAGAGCUAAAGUCUACAUUGAUUCAUCACGUGCAAGAUGUGGAUGCUCUAUAUAAGUUUUAAAUAUAAACCUGACAGUAAAUGAAAGAUCCAAAAGGACAUUGUUAUUUAACCGUGGAAUCUGCAGUUAAUAUCAAUAGGUGCUCUAAAGUCUAAAUUCUGCAUCAACCCCACUGAGAAACUUCUGCCUGAUUCUAGUUCCUGCAUUUAGUUCCUGUCUGAAACCUCUUUAUUGGACAGUGGAUGGAAAUCCAUCUCAGGGUUCUUUAUAAUUUUACCAACAAUAAGAGAGCAGUGUUAUUAGAAAAGGUAGCAAAAAUAUGGGGAGCUUUAUACCAAUAAAAGUUUAUCCUAAAUCCCCCCAGAUUCAGAAGAGCAGUUAUUUGGGCAAUUUGGUUUUUCAGAGACUUCAGUAUAUGACAGAGAGCAAUUAUUUACAUAAAUUAUUUAUGGUGCAGUGAAUCAUUUUCUUAAGGAUUCUAUUUCCCACAGACAUGUAGUGCUUAUGAAGUGUAGGCUUAUACAUAUAUUAAAGUGCAGUGGUUUCUCGAGUGUCUUCAGGUAGUAGGUGUUCCUCCAAAAAUCAGGCCAGGGUCAGAUAAGUUUGAGAUGUUCUUUUAUUUAUUUAUUUUUUAAUUUUUUUUUUAAUGUUUAUUUAUUUUUGAGACAGACAGAGCAUGAAUGGGGGAGG